GAUGAAGAACGCAGCGAAAUGCGAUACGUAAUGUGAAUUGCAGAAUUCAGUGAAUCAUCGAAUCUUUGAACGCAUAUUGCGCUCUCUGGUAUUCCGGAGAGCAUGCUUGUUUGAGUAUCAGUAAACACCUCAACUUCCAUAUCUUUUUUGAAAUGGGAGUUGGACUUGAGUGAUCCCAACGCUUUUCCUCACCGAAAAGUGGCGGGUUACUUGAAAUGCAGGUGCAGCUGGACUUUUCUCUGAGCUAUAAGCAUAUCUAUUUAGACUGCCUAAAAAACAGAUUAUUACCUGUGCUGCAGCUAACAUAAAGGAGAUUAGUUCUUGUGCUGACUGAUGCAGGAUUCACAAAGACAGGCUGCGGCCGACUUUGUAAACUCGAUCUCAAAUCAAGUAAGACUACCCGCUGAACUUAAGCAUAUCAAUAAGCGGAGGA
rnacentral:misc_RNA from 1 species